GGAAGGAAACAUUCUGCUUUCUAUGAAAUCAGCUUGCAUAAGAACAAACACAUGUUGUGAGAAUGGACUGAUCUGGAUUCAAACCCAGGACCUACUUGCUGUGAGAAAGCCAUCUAGUUAAAGACCUGGAAACCCACACCUGGGAUCAGAAUCUGAGAGACACCUGGAAAGUUCUCACACCAGAGAAGAACCCCGGAUCCAUCUGUCAGCCCUCCUGUCUGCGCUCGCCUGCCUGUCCACCCUCCAACAAACCAACACAGAGAGAGAAUAUGGAUCUGCACCAACAACCCGUACCACUGAACAGCACUUCUUCCCCAAGA